CCUACGGGAGGCAGCAGUGAGGAAUUUUGCGCAAUGGGGGAAACCCUGACGCAGCAACGCCGCGUGGGUGAAGAAGGCUUUCGGGUCGUAAAGCCCUGUCAGGUGGGAAGAAACUCUUCAGUACUAAUAAUGCUGAAGUCUGACGGUACCACCAGAGGAAGCACCGGCCAACUCCGUGCCAGCAGCCGCGGUAAUACGGAGGGUGCAAGCGUUGUUCGGAAUUACUGGGCGUAAAGGGCGCGUAGGCGGGAUGCCAAGUCAGGGGUGAAAGUCCUGGGCUCAACCUGGGGAUUGCCCUUGAAACUGGCAUUCUUGAGACCGGGAGAGGAUGGCGGAAUUCCCAGUGUAGAGGUGAAAUUCGUAGAUAUUGGGAAGAACACCGGUGGCGAAGGCGGCCAUCUGGACCGGAUCUGACGCUGAGGCGCGAAAGCGUGGGGAGCAAACAGGAUUAGAUACCCUGGUAGUCCACGCCGUAAACGAUGUGUGCUAGCCGUUGGGGCACUUGGUGUUUCAGUGGCGCAGCUAACGCGUUAAGCACACCGCCUGGGGAGUACGGCCGCAAGGUUAAAACUCAAAGGAAUUGACGG
rnacentral:rRNA from 1 species